rnacentral:rRNA from 1 species
GACGAACGCUGGCGGCGUGCUUAACACAUGCAAGUCGAACGGAAAGGCCCUGCUUUUGUGGGGUGCUCGAGUGGCGAACGGGUGAGUAACACGGGAGUAACCUGCCCUUGACUUUGGGAUAACUUCAGGAAACUGGGGCUAAUACCGGAUAGGAGCGCCUGCUGCAUGGUGUGGGUUGGAAAGUUUCGGCGGUUGGGGAUGGACUCGCGGCUUAUCAGCUUGUUGGUGGGGUAGUGGCUUACCAAGGCUUUGACGGGUAGCCGGCCUGAGAGGGUGACCGGCCCCAUUGGGCCUGAGAUACGGCCCAGACUCCUACGGGAGGCAGCAGUGGGGAACAUUGCACAAUGGGCGGAAGCCUGAUGCAGCAACGCCGCGUGCGGGAUGACGGCCUUCGGGUUGUAACCCGCUUUCGCCUGUGACGAAGCGUGAGUGACGGUAAUGGGUAAAGAAGCACCGGCUAACUACGUG